rnacentral:rRNA from 1 species
UACGUAGGGGGCAAGCGUUGUCCGGAUUUAUUGGGCGUAAAGAGCGUGUAGGCGGCCAAGCAGGUCCGCUGUGAAAACUCGAGGCUCAACCUCGAGAGGUCGGUGGAAACCGUUUGGCUAGAGUCCGGAAGAGGAGAGUGGAAUUCCCGGUGUAGCGGUGAAAUGCGCAGAUAUCAGGAGGAACACCGAUGGCGAAGGCAGGUCACUGGGCCGCAACUGACGCUGAGGAGCGAAAGCAUGGGGAGCGAACAGG